rnacentral:rRNA from 1 species
CAGCAGCCACGGUAAUACGUAGGUGGCAAGCGUUGUCCGGAAUUAUUGGGCGUAAAGGGCUCGCAGGCGGUUUCUUAAGUCUGAUGUGAAAGCCCCCGGCUCAACCGGGGAGGGUCAUUGGAAACUGGGAAACUUGAGUGCAGAAGAGGAGAGUGGAAUUCCACGUGUAGCGGUGAAAUGCGUAGAGAUGUGGAGGAACACCAGUGGCGAAGGCGGCUCACUGGCUCAUACUGGACGCUGAGGUGCGAAAGCGUGGGGAGCAAACAGGAUUAGAUACCCCAGUAGUCCCUGUCUCUUAUAA